UACGUAGGGUGCAGGCGUUAAUCGGAAUUACUGGGCGUAAAGCGUGCGCAGGCGGUCUUUUAAGUCAGAUGUGAAAUCCCCGGGCUUAACCUGGGAACUGCGUUUCUAACUGGCAGGCUUGAGUGUGGCAGAGGGGGGUGGAAUUCCGCGUGUAGCAGUGAAAUGCGUAGAGAUGCGGAGGAACACCGAUGGCGAAGGCAGCCCCCUGGGCCAACACUGACGCUCAGGCACGAAAGCGUGGGGAGCAAACAGG
rnacentral:rRNA from 1 species